rnacentral:rRNA from 1 species
GAUUAACGCUAGCGGCAGGCAUAAUACAUGCAAGUUGAACGGCAGCACAGGUAGCAAUACUGGGUGGCGAGUGGCGCACGGGUGCGUAACACGUAUGCAACCUACCCUAUACAGGCGAAUAACCUUUAGAAAUGAGGGCUAAUACGCCGUAGUAUUACAGAUGGGCAUCUAUUUGUAAUUAAAGAUUUAUCGGUAUAGGAUGGGCAUGCGUCCCAUUAGUUAGUUGGUAAGGUAACGGCUUACCAAGACGAUGAUGGGUAGGGGAUCUGAGAGGACUUACCCCCACACUGGUACUGAGACACGGACCAGACUCCUACGGGAGGCAGCAGUAAGGAAGAUUGGGCAAUGGCCGCGAGGCUGACCCAGCCAUGCCGCGUGCAGGAAGACGGCCUUAUGGGUUGUAAACUGCUUUUAUACGGGAAUAAUAGAGUGUACGCGUACAUUUAUGCAAGUAUCGUAUGAAUAAGCAUCGGCUAACUCCGUG